AUACUUACCUUGUCUGAAGCCUCCAAGAUCAAGAACCUGGAGGCUUGCCAGUGACGGCCUGCAUUGCACUCUCGCGGCGUCGUCUAUGGUGCAUUACUCUUCGGGGUCAUGUCAGGCACAAUUUUUGAUCUUUGCAUAUGGCUAUUACUCCUUUUCAUU
rnacentral:snRNA from 24 species